CUCGGCGUGUGAUGCUGCGGGUAGCCUCAGAGGAAGGGGCGGGCCGGAUGCUGGAACUGAGAGAGGUGCGGUUCGUCGGGAAUCCCGGGCGGCCAAGGCUGGAGUCUCCUAAAUGGUGUCCUAUAGGUUUUGUCAUGGAGUGAAACUGAAACAAAUGUGGGUCUACUGAAUUCUUGGCACAGUACCUGGAAAAAACAUUGUUAAGGCAGAAAUUUUUAUUGUAUUUAUCACUUCAAACAUUUGACCAGUUUAUUUAGUUUUGUAGUGCUUUAGACAAAUAACUAUAUGUGGGCUUCACUUAGUGUAUAAUAAAUGUAAAGUUUGACCUCAAAUAGUUGACGUUUAUGGAGUACUUACAAUAUGCCAAUCUUUGUGAUAAGUCCUAGACAUAUAUUAUCUUAUUUAAUACUUACGGCAGUACUCUGAGUUAGGUUUGUUAAAUCCCUGUCUUAAUAGAUGGAGAAACUGAGGCAAAAACGGAUUAAGUUCCUUGCUCAUGGUCACAAAACUAGAGUCAUCUUCUUAACCUACUUAUUUUGUGUGACAUCUCUUUUCCUCCAUAUAACUGAACACUGGUAGAAGAGUGUAUAUGAAUAACAGACCUGAACUUAUUCUACCUAUCCAGCUUUGUGAAUUAGGGCAAGUCAUGUGACCACUCUGAAUUUCAUUUUCCUCACCUAUAAUAAAUGAAAACUUUGAACUGUUAUAUUUUAUCAAAUCUUGAAUCAUCAAAA